rnacentral:lncRNA from 1 species
UGAAAUGAGUAAAAGGUGAAGUUUGAUGAUAAUGAGCUAGGGGAGAUUCUAAGGAUACAUGUUGAAGGCUACAUAAGCAACAUGUCAUAUGUUUCACAUGAAUAUGUAACUUGAGUAACCUCUACUUCCUAAGCAGCCUUCAUUGAACAACCAACCAUACUAUAUAUAAAUACUAGAUAUCCCGUGCAUGUGUUGUGCACGGGCCUAACACGACCAUAAGCCUAACACCACUGCACAAAAUAGGUCCGAGAGUAAGAAAGAUAAUUUCAUACUUGUGUAGUAAGAUUACCCCCGAAAAAUAAAAUGACGAAGCAAUACCAUCCGUUGACUAAAUAUUACAACAUAAUACACCACAUUCAUUUGUUUAGCUUCAUUAGUCCAAUUGCAUUUUUAGCUUGCUUCUAUGAGAAUGAGAAAGAUAAAAACAAUCAGAUAAAUCGUGUUCAUGUUGGUAGUCCCACUAAUACAAAAUAUUGGAUAAAAUUUGGACAGUUGCAGUUGACAACAAAUACUUCAUCUUAUAUCCACCUAAAGAAAAGAAAAUCAAGCAUUAGUAUUAUUGGUAAGACUUACAUAUGGUAGUAUAACAAUCAUAAAAUUCAGCUAGUUUGCAUAUUCAGCAAAACAAUCAUAAAUUCAUUAAUUUUGGAGGAAAAAGAGGGGCAUAAAAUAUCAGCAUGGACUAAGAGGAGAAAGAAAAGAUUCAGACACGGUAGACCUAUUGAAAUGCCCCCAUCAAAGGCAUGUUCUAAAUCUGAAUUGGGUCUCUUCUUUUUAGCAAUCUAUAGCUAGGCAUUAAAUAAUGAUUUACAACCUUGGAGGACCUAUUUAGGGAUAUGAACCUUUAACCUAUUUCAUUGGAGGAGACUAUCUUCAUUGAUUUUGGUAUUGAUGUAAUAACUGAAAAGUGAUACACACCAAAUUUAAAAUAGAAAAUCUGCAAUAGAAGCACUACCAGUAAAUCACAAUUCACAACCAUACUCGCAUAUUCUGUGACUUAGGAGAGAUCAUGUAGUGGUAUUUCUAUUUCAAUCACCUGACCCUACUCUAUUCAUGAGAACAACUGCUAUCUAUGUUGAAUGAAUGCGUCCAGGUUACUACAAAAAUUUCUAGACAAAUUCUAACUUCUGCAAAUACUACUUCAAUUGCCUUAUUUCUAUUAUAUACUUACAAGCAACGACCAUCUCAUCAUGACCAUCUAUCGAAGAGAUGCACCAAAAAGAUCUGAAAAACAUAAAGCAGAUAAACGAACCUUCAAAAUAUAAGUUUUGAGUAGUAUUUAAACACAUGUUAAAGGAUACAAUGAAAAGAAGCAUAUUGCCAACGACAAGUCUGUUUUUUCAUUUCCUUGCAAAACUUACUAAUGACAAACUAAGUGAAUGUGUGGGCUAAAGAUGUUGCAACCUGAUCAUUCUAGAUAUGUCCAUGUUAUUGUCCUUGGUGGGGCUUCAGUGAGAGUUCAUCAUUUAUAAUUUGCUGCUUUUGAGGCUAGUGAAAAAUAUUCAACAUGUUGUGCGAGAGAUUUGGAAACAACAGUUAUCACUUAUCACAUGCCAUCAGUUCUUGCUCGAUCCUUAUCUAUAUGAAAUAAAGCGUGCGUCUAUACCGAUAAGUAGAUAUUGAUUGAUCUCAACUAAUCAAGGGGAAAAUGUUUGAUAUUUUGGUCAAUUCAAAAUAUCAUAAUAAAAAUACCCCCGUACCCUGACAACUUAAAAAAAGUGAAAAGAAGAAAGGAAUGUUGAGGCUAGGAAUGAAGUGCAAAGAGAAAACUGGAGAAAUAAAACUCACAUGCAGACAUCCACUAAUCAAACAAAUCAAAUGCUCAAAAAACAAAAUCAGAGAACAUAGCUUACCAAUUAAUACAAUCGCAGCACACCAGAUUGAUCGGCAAAGGACUGUCAAUCCAACUAAAGAAGAUACUAUCAUGUGACAGAAGCAUUAUUCAAAGUUCAAACUUGCCGCAAUUAUUACUCCCACCGUUCCAGUUUAUGUAAACCUAGCUAUUUCCUUUUUGGUCCGUUCCAAAAAGAAUGACCCCUUUCUAAAUUUGGAAACAAUUUAGCUUAAACUUCCAAUUCUACCCUUAAUGAGAAGCUUUUAUAACCACACAAAUACUCUGGUCCCCAUUUUGACUUGUUUAGGACCACAAAUUCUAAAAAAGUCAUCAUUUUUUCUUAAACUCCGUGAUCAGUCAAACAUGUUCACAUAAAUUGGAACAGAGGGAGUAUUAUUGAAAAAAAUGGAAGGGAAGGAAAAGAUAAAGCUGUAAUUUUGAUUACUUUUGCUCCACGCGUAUAGUAGUCACCGGAACAUCUAUGUACAAGAUAAAAAGUCAUAAGCAAGCUGCGGUAAGGACUUUAUUUUCCUGCAAAACAAUUGUUGAUGUAUAGAAAAACAUGUUACUAAUUUAUAUGAGGGAAUCAAUUAGGAUAUUUGCGAACGAACAUUUAAACUUGUUGCUAAAUUUUUAUGUUUGAGUAGCUUAGUAACUUUUAUUCUCUGUGUAAAAGCAUAGGAGUUAGCAGGACUUCAGAAUAUGCAAGCAUUUGAACUAUCUCGGAGGAGUUGAUUGAAAUAUUUCAAGAAUUUCUCAAGGAUUAAUCUUCAUUUCCUGCACAUACUCUAGUCCCUCUCGAGAUAGUAAUUCUGGGGUUUUCACAUUAUAAAAUGACAUAAAGAUGAUCUCCGAAUGAUCUUCUUAGCUGCUACUUGAUUUUCAAAUGUAUCAACCAAAUCAGACAACCCAAUGAAUGAAAGCUCUUAAUCUUCAUUAUACUCCAGCAUAGAGCGAUAAUGUCUCAAAUUCUAGAGUAAUCUUAAUAUCUCGUUCUGAACACUUAUGUCAUUUGAGUAUCAAAUAAAUCUCAGUUGUAACCUAAAAGCAACAACCAUAAAUUCCAGCUUUGUUUCUUUGAUACUAUGUUGUAGAUUAGUUUUAUGGAGUUACAACCAACAAAUCAGAAGUAGAAAGAUUCAAAAAAUGACGAAGAAACAAUAAUAAUUCAACGAUGAUAGAUAAACAAAAUUGAUUGUCCUUGUAAUAUUGCAUAGAUCAGAGAGCUAUUGUUGAAAUGUGAGACCCGUUUGGCCAUAGAUCACUUUUGACACGGAACCAACCCCCAGAGGAAACAGAGGGACAACAACACAAAACUGCAGCACAUCCCUAUUUUUAUUUCUAAAGCAAGAAAGAACAACGACACUGCCACUCUUCAAUUAAUUUCUAAAUCAAUUCCCAAAUAGAAUUUCAGUGCACCUUUAUCAUCUCUCAACGCAAUUCUAAUGUGCAAAGUCGCCCAAACCUGUAGAAGUAAGAGGUUCUUACUCCCAUGUAGUCUAAAUACUUUUUUUCUUACUAUUUUCUUCAAUCCUUUAUCUUCUUUUUUAUAACAAGAAUAAGUACAACUAUAGAUUUGUUGCCUAACAUAAACUUUUCCUAAGCAUUCAUCCCACAAAUCAAAGUAGGCAAAUAACUUUAAGCUUUUCCUAAUCAUGUAUAUUCCAAUCAAUCAACCUCCAUUCCAUACAUCAUCCUAUUUCUUUGGAUGCUGUCAUAGCCAAAAAGAAGUGACAAAAUAAGACGGUAAACUUUCCUCUUCCAUUGUUAUCUUCGAGAAAUAGAGUAAGACAGUGGACACAUAGAAGGUUUGAAGAUGAAAUUUCAUAAAGAUACCCCACGCCCUAGAUCACUUUCAGCAUUCUAAAGAUGCCAAGUGAAUGUAGAAAUUUGAAAGUUCUAAAAGAUGGAUAUAUAUUCUUUGUUCCGAGUUGGCGAUUUUGGUGUUAUAGAUGUAGUUUAUUGUAAGGUCUGUAAUGUUAUUUGAAAAGUGUUCAUGACGGCUAGUAAGAUGAUAAAGCCCAUAAUACUGUAUGUAAUACCCGAAAGAAUUGUACUCUAGCUAGUUUGUUGAACAUACCAUCACAAUCUCGGUGUUGUUUGUAAUUAGAAAAUUUACCUUUUUAAUCAAAAGCAAUAUAAGGAGAAAAUAUGGUCAAAGUAUAGAAUCAGAUAUGCUGAGCACAUUUUUCCUGAAAUAAAAAGAACUCAAUUUAGUAAAAAUUUUGAUUCAUAUCUUCUCAAGCUCAACCUGAGACUAUACUUUCCUAAAGUCGGAAUAGGAUCGUUCUCCACUUCACGAGAUUUUAAAAAGAACAACUUAAUUUUGUAAAUACUUCAUUAAUCAUUUUUCCCAAAUAAAGUUUUUAAACAUAUAAAAUCUCUAUAAGAAGACAAAAGUGAAAGAACACAAGUAUUUUUCUUGGCUGUACAUUAAAAAUAAAAAGAAUGCAUUUGAAACAUUAGUUUGCUAAUUUCAGUACUGUUGAAGAAGCCUUGUAAAACAUUAAAUUCGGAUAGCCUAACAUACAAUUAUUUCUUGUUAGCUAAGAAGUCCUUUAAAGUAUGCAUCAACUACCGUCAACAGUCAGAUAAAUAUUACUUCUCAUUUAAUUCUAUCCUCUCAUGUCUACAGCAGUUUAGAAAAUCCACAAAAUUGUUUAGAUCCUGGGGCCAUCUUACAAUUACACCAAGAAUACACAAACUGCAAUGACUUGAAUUGAAUACAUGCUAAGGCCCAAUAAGUAUUUUGAAAAAAACUAUAGUUUCUUUCCACAUUGUGCAAAAAAAGCACGAAGGAACUUAUUACUGGAUGUCUUUGUGAAUGUAAUAGAAAAUCUCAUGAAUUAAGCAUAAAAAACCUUUUGUUCUUGGGGAUAAUUGCAUUUUUAAUGAGUUACUAAUAUUGAAAAGGGGAAGUAAGUAAAAGUAAACCAAAAUGUGCAGAACUUACCUGGUACAAGUGAAGCAAUAUUCCUUUCCCCACUUUCAGUUAACAACUUCCUUUAAGAAAAAUCUGAAAAAUCAAUAUUUUGGGACCAUUAUAUUCCUACUAAAUGAAUACAAAAAUAUUCGGUAAUAUCAAAAGUUCAUAUUUCAAACAAAACCCAAGUAAGCGAUACACUAUUCAGUUUAAUAGAGUCUCGUCAAAAAAUAAUAAAAUAGGAGUAAUAAUUUUGAAAAAGAAGAAGAUAAACCCAAUUAAAGAACAUUGUGUGAGAAAAAUAUUGUGCAUGAGUAAAUCAAACAUAUCUACUGACAUGUAUGUAUAACAUUCAAUAAAAUACUGCCCAAAAGUUCAAGAUGCCCAAAAAAUUAUAUUAAAAACAGGAUCCAAACACAUGCAUAGCCGAGAAAACAGAGGAAGAUGCAAAGAAGGUGUCCAAUUCCCUGCUUCUUAGUAGGAGAAACUGAUAGAUAAGUCACCAAAGAAACCCCAAAUUUUCCAUCUUUCAAUUUUCUUUUUCAAACUUUCAGUUCAUACACUUUGAAAACCUAAAUAGACACAAUUCAAUAAUGUAGCCACAUAAGACUCACCAAUCCUUGUAACAUUAAAAAAAUUAGAAAUGGUAAAAGAUAAAAGAUAAAAGAUAUUCUCCAUCUUCAUAAUAGCCAAAGGUAACACAUAAAU